UACGGAGGGUGCAAACGUUGCUCGGAAUUAUUGGGCGUAAAGCGUACGUAGGCGGUCCAGCAAGUCGGGUGUGAAAGCCCUUGGCUUAACCAAGGAAGUGCAUUCGAAACUACUGGACUUGAAUACUGGAGAGGAUCGCGGAAUUCCCGGUGUAGAGGUGAAAUUCGUAGAUAUCGGGAGGAACAUCAGUGGCGAAGGCGGCUAUCUGGUCUAACACUGACACUGAGACACGAAAGCGUGGGGAGCAAACAGG
rnacentral:rRNA from 1 species